UGGGGAAUAUUGCACAAUGGGCGCAAGCCUGAUGCAGCCAUGCCGCGUGUAUGAAGAAGGCCUUCGGGUUGUAAAGUACUUUCAGCGGGGAGGAAGGUGUUGUGGUUAAUAACCGCAGCAAUUGACGUUACCCGCAGAAGAAGCACCGGCUAACUCCGUGCCAGCAGCCGCGGUAAUACGGAGGGUGCAAGCGUUAAUCGGAAUUACUGGGCGUAAAGCGCACGCAGGCGGUCUGUUAAGUCAGAUGUGAAAUCCCCGGGCUCAACCUGGGAACUGCAUCUGAUACUGGCAGGCUUGAGUCUCGUAGAGGGGGGUAGAAUUCCAGGUGUAGCGGUGAAAUGCGUAGAGAUCUGGAGGAAUACCGGUGGCGAAGGCGGCCCCCUGGACGAAGACUGACGCUCAGGUGCGAAAGCGUGGGGAGCAAACA
rnacentral:rRNA from 1 species